rnacentral:tRNA from 1 species
CCACGUUCCAUAGAAUGGUAACUCGUCAGCCUCCUAAGCUGAAGACUGCGGGCACGUUAGGGGUUCGAUCCCAGCCGGCA